CCUACGGGAGGCAGCAGUGGGGAAUAUUGCACAAUGGGGGGAACCCUGAUGCAGCGACGCCGCGUGAAGGAAGAAGUAUCUCGGUAUGUAAACUUCUAUCAGCAGGGAAGAAAGAGGACGGUACCUGACUAAGAAGCCCCGGCUAACUACGUGCCAGCAGCCGCGGUAAUACGUAGGGGGCGAGCGUUAUCCGGAUUUACUGGGUGUAAAGGGAGCGUAGACGGCCAUGCAAGCUCGGUGUGAAAGGUGCGGGCACAACCCGCAGACUGCACUGAGAACUGUAUGGCUGGAGUGCCGGAGGGGCAGGCGGAAUUCCUGGUGUAGCGGUGAAAUGCGUAGAUAUCAGGAGGAACACCGGUGGCGAAGGCGGCCUGCUGGACGGCGACUGACGUUGAGGCUCGAAAGCGUGGGGAGCGAACAGGAUUAGAUACCCCAGUAGUC
rnacentral:rRNA from 1 species